AUUUUUAAGGAUCUUUAAGGAGAAGGAAAUGGAGAUAUAACGAUAUCACGCUAGUGAUUGUCCAGAAUAAAAUAAAUUGGCCUUUUUACACGGCUCGAUUUCAUCGAUUAUAUCUUAGUCGUCACGACAUACAAUUAAGAACAACCUGGAAACCAACGCGAUAGAAGUUAUAUCGAUCACUCUAUCUACUUCGUAAAAUCGAACAUAAAUAAAUCUAUUUAAUUUUCCGAAGCAUCAUUUAAACACAACGUACAGUCAUGCACAUAACAAAUAGGCGCAUACACAUAUACACAUAAAGCAUAAAUCAGUUAUAUAGGAUGUAAAUAAUAUUUCUCUUAUAUUGUAGAAUACCAUGAGAGAUGUCAAAAUUUUGAAUUUAAUAUAGCAUAUUAGGAUACAGAAUAAGAUGUAUAUAUGUAUAUAAAAUAUGAGAUUAUACGAAAAUAAAUAAGAUAGAUAUGAAAUAUGUUAGAACAAAAAAUGUUUUUUAAUCGGCUUCAGAAUAUUGAUCGUUGGAAAUGUGGGCGGUGAGUGCGGAAAUGGUGCGAUUUGAGAGGCACUGAUUAAAGCGGCGGUUUUAAGGGUGGCACGAGUGGCGAGCAAAAGAGUUCAUUAAAACCAGCGUCAUGCACACCCUUGGUAUCGUUGAAUUCGUCAAGCGUUUGUCUCACCAGUAAAAAGCUCGCGAGACAUUCGAUGUUUUUGACCAUUUCUCCUUACCAUGGAGAGGUAUUU